GGAGAGUUGGCAGAGCUGGUUUAAUGCACUUGACUUGAAAUCAAGCGAAGAUAGAAAUGUCUUCCCUGGGUUCAAAUCCCAGAUUCUCCG
rnacentral:tRNA from 1 species